rnacentral:rRNA from 1 species
GGAUCAUUACCGAGUUAGGGUCUUCUAGGCCCGACCUCCCAACCCUCUGUUUACUGAACCGAAAUGUUGCUUUGGCGGGCCCGUCUUCAUCGACCGCCGGAGGGUCGCCUAACCGGCGUCCUCUGGCCCGCGCCCGUCGAACGCCCAACCUCUUAAACUCUGUCUAAAUCGUGUCAUGAUUGUCUGAGUACAUUGAUUAAAUAAGUAAAAACUUUCAACAACGGAUCUCUUGGUUCUGGCAUCGAUGAAGAACGCAGCGAAAUGCGAUAAGUAAUGCGAAUUGCAGAAUUUCAGUGAGUCAUCGAAUCUUUGAACGCACAUUGCGCCCUUUGGUAUUCCGAAGGGCAUGCCUGUUCGAGCGUCAUUAUCACCCCUCAAGCCCCGUGCUUGGUGUUGGACGGCCUGGUCGGUGACACGACCCCUCCUAAAGACAAUGACGGCGGCCCGUGGAGCCCCCGGUACACUGAGCUUCUUAACCGAGCACGUACCGGACGAGGGUGCCCGGGACCCGGUCUUCUCCCACUGGGAACUUUCUAAGUUUUGACCUC